UUUAGGCUGAAUAUAAAAGAAAACUGUAAACAAUGCUAUAAUUCACCGCUCUAUAAACAGGUGCAACUUUAAAGCAUAAAAUAUGACAAGCUACCCUAUCAAAAGGGCUUGGCUGACCUGGUGAAGGAAAACGUUGCUUGACAGCUUCUGUCAAAGGGACAGUUGAAGCUGUCAUGAAAACCAGGGGCUCCAACAAGACAUUGAAGUAGUAACCUGAGCAUUCAUGAAUGCAGAGUCUUGAUGAGUAGAAGGUAAAUGCUGGUGUCCCACUGAGGGUUCGAGUCCACUUUCUGAAGUCAGAGGAAAGAAAGGAUAACAUGAGCUGGCAGAUCUAGGAUCCACAGGCAGAUUUAUUUGCUGUCUACAAACGCCGUUUUGUGUUGAGUUCUCAGCCACAUUUCCCAAAGGCCAUCAUUCAGGCAUUGCAUGCAAAUGGACCAAUUCUGUGCAGCUGAUGCAAGUGACCCUGUUGUGGAGGACCAUGGUGAUUGUCUGAGAAAAGACUGAUCGACUGGACCACAACUAAAUUGGAAGAUAGGAAGACUUAACCAAAUGUCCCUGGAGAUAAAAUAUUUGCCUACUUCAAACGUGAGUAAUGGAACAACGAUUGUCAUCCAACUGAUUGCCAUCGUUAUGUGCGUUCGCCUUUGC